GACGAACCGUGCAAACGUUGUUCGGAAUCACUGGGCAUAAAGGGCGCGUAGGCGGCCCGACCAGUCUGCGGUGAAAUCCCCGGGCUUAACCUGGGAAUGGCCGUGGAAACUGGCGGGCUUGAGUGUGGCAGAGGGGGGUGGAAUUCCGCGUGUAGCAGUGAAAUGCGUAGAGAUGCGGAGGAACACCGAUGGCGAAGGCAACCCCCUGGGCUGACACUGACGCUCAGGCACGAAAGCGUGGGGAGCAAACAGG
rnacentral:rRNA from 1 species